ensembl:snRNA U6 U6 spliceosomal RNA
GUGCUCGCUUCAGCAGCACAUAUACUAAAAUUGGAACGAUACAGAGAAGGUUAGCAUGGGCCCUGUGCAAGGAUGACAUGCAAAUUCAUGAAGCGUUCCACAUUAAA